ensembl:lncRNA
ACUUUUUGUGUGUGCCUGUUAAAUCUACGAGCUGAGAUGAGGAAACUCCUCCCCGCGAGUAAAUAUUCAAUCACUAUGCUCUAAAGUUAGGGGGCGCUGAACCAUCAUUCAACACUUUAACAUGGCGAGCGGCGGUGAAGCGAAGCUACAGUACGAGGAAGCGCCGGCGUCUUUCAAAUCCGUGGUGUGGAGACAUUUCGGUUUUGCCGUUGAGUAUAAUGCCGAGGAAGAAAAAACGGUAAACAAAAAAAUGACUAUCUGCAAGCAUUGUUUUACACGUGUAGCCUACUCAAACGGAAACACUUCCAACAUGACUGCACAUCUGCGGCGCCAUCACCCAGCAAUAUCACUGUCUGAAGGCAGGAUAUCAGAGCAGACAGAUCAUAUCUGAAAGAAGCACACUCAUCCAGGUUUAACCGUGGCCCGUCAUUCUGCUGAAGGUGACAAACCACAUAGGAAUCCUGAUGCCUUUCCAGUGUGAACCUGUAGUUUUUAAUUCCUAAAGAAAUCAGGACACGAUGACUGGAUUUUAUCUCAGAUGAUCUGUAUUGAAACAUCACCAAGCGUGUUAACUGCCAUGCUGUGGACCCGACAGCUGAUCCUAUCAAAUUACAACGGGAUGCUGAGUCAGUUUCUGAGUGUGAGCAAGUUAUUUGUAUUGCACCAGUCCACAAGCUGUCUCACCUCCUCCCUAUAGGCCUGUUCGUUGUCAUCCUGAAUGAGGCCCACCACUGUCGUUUCAUCCGCAUACUUCACAACAUGGUUUGUACUGUACCUGGCACGGCAGUCAUGGGUCAUCUUAGUGAAUAGUAAUGGGCUUAGGACGCAGCCCUGAGGGGAGCCAUUGCUCAGAGAGAUGAUACUGGAGGUGUGAUUUCCAACCUUCACAAACUGAGAAGAGAGAAAGUUAUACAUGUUUGUAACAACAUGAAGCUUUCUGAUGGUGUGAGGGUCAGAUGAGGAAAGAUUCUGCAAUCCAGACUGUCGUUCUGUGAUGUGGGAUGUAUUUUGAGGCUGUCUGGAUUUAAAAAAGCACAAGCAAUAUUUUUGUUAAGCUUCUAGUGGAGCAUGAUGUUGUGAAUGGCUUCAAGGGCAGACAGAUGCCUGCCUCCCAUAGCAAGACACGGGGGCCAAGGCCAACGAAACCCCUCACACCGGGCCAAAGACCCUGUUGAUGAACCAGAUCCCCUUUAACACUUUCAUGUAGUGAGAUGAACAUGCAGACUGUACAGCAUGCAUAUGCUAAUGGAAAUGUGUGUAUAUA